GUUAAGCGACUAAGCGUACACGGUGGAUGCCUAGGCAGUCAGAGGCGAUGAAGGGCGUGCUAAUCUGCGAAAAGCGUCGGUAAGCUGAUAUGAAGCGUUACAACCGACGAUACCCGAAUGGGGAAACCCAGUGCAAUUCGUUGCACUAUUGCAUGGUGAAUACAUAGCCAUGCAAGGCGAACCGGGGGAACUGAAACAUCUAAGUACCCCGAGGAAAAGAAAUCAACCGAGAUUCCCCCAGUAGCGGCGAGCGAACGGGGAAGAGCCCAGAGUCUGAAUCAGUUUAUGUGUUAGUGGAAGCGUCUGGAAAGUCGCACGGUACAGGGUGAUAGUCCCGUACACAAAAAUGCAUAUUCUGUGAACUCGAUGAGUAGGGCGGGACACGUGACAUCCUGUCUGAAUAUGGGGGGACCAUCCUCCAAGGCUAAAUACUCCUGACUGACCGAUAGUGAACCAGUACCGUGAGGGAAAGGCGAAAAGAACCCCGGCGAGGGGAGUGAAAUAGAACCUGAAACCGUGUACGUACAAGCAGUGGGAGCACCUUCGUGGUGUGACUGCGUACCUUUUGUAUAAUGGGUCAGCGACUUAUAUUUUGUAGCAAGGUUAACCGAAUAGGGGAGCCGUAGGGAAACCGAGUCUUAACUGGGCGUCUAGUUGCAAGGUAUAGACCCGAAACCCGGUGAUCUAGCCAUGGGCAGGUUGAAGGUUGGGUAACACUAACUGGAGGACCGAACCGACUAAUGUUGAAAAAUUAGCGGAUGACUUGUGGCUGGGGGUGAAAGGCCAAUCAAACCGGGAGAUAGCUGGUUCUCCCCGAAAGCUAUUUAGGUAGCGCCUCGUGAACUCAUCUUCGGGGGUAGAGCACUGUUUCGGCUAGGGGGUCAUCCCGACUUACCAAACCGAUGCAAACUCCGAAUACCGAAGAAUGUUAUCACGGGAGACACACGGCGGGUGCUAACGUCCGUCGUGAAGAGGGAAACAACCCAGACCGCCAGCUAAGGUCCCAAAGUCAUGGUUAAGUGGGAAACGAUGUGGGAAGGCACAGACAGCCAGGAUGUUGGCUUAGAAGCAGCCAUCAUUUAAAGAAAGCGUAAUAGCUCACUGGUCGAGUCGGCCUGCGCGGAAGAUGUAACGGGGCUAAACCAUGCACCGAAGCUGCGGCAGCGACACUUAGGUGUUGUUGGGUAGGGGAGCGUUCUGUAAGCCGUUGAAGGUGACCUGUGAGGGUUGCUGGAGGUAUCAGAAGUGCGAAUGCUGACAUAAGUAACGAUAAUGCGGGUGAAAAACCCGCACGCCGGAAGACCAAGGGUUCCUGUCCAACGUUAAUCGGGGCAGGGUGAGUCGACCCCUAAGGCGAGGCUGAAAAGCGUAGUCGAUGGGAAACAGGUUAAUAUUCCUGUACUUGGUGUUACUGCGAAGGGGGGACGGAGAAGGCUAGGCUAGCCGGGCGACGGUUGUCCCGGUUUAAGCAUGUAGGCGGAGUGACCAGGUAAAUCCGGUUGCUUAUCAACGCUGAGGUGUGAUGACGAGCCACUACGGUGGUGAAGUAGUUGAUGCCAAGCUUCCAGGAAAAGCCUCUAAGCAUCAGGUAACAUUAAAUCGUACCCCAAACCGACACAGGUGGUCAGGUAGAGAAUACUCAGGCGCUUGAGAGAACUCGGGUGAAGGAACUAGGCAAAAUGGUGCCGUAACUUCGGGAGAAGGCACGCUGGCGGUAGGUGAAGAGACUUGCUCUCGGAGCUGAAGCCAGUCGCAGAUACCAGCUGGCUGCAACUGUUUAAUAAAAACACAGCACUGUGCAAACACGAAAGUGGACGUAUACGGUGUGACGCCUGCCCGGUGCUGGAAGGUUAAUUGAUGGGGUCAGCCGCAAGGCGAAGCUCUUGAUCGAAGCCCCAGUAAACGGCGGCCGUAACUAUAACGGUCCUAAGGUAGCGAAAUUCCUUGUCGGGUAAGUUCCGACCUGCACGAAUGGCGUAAUGAUGGCCAGGCUGUCUCCACCCGAGACUCAGUGAAAUUGAACUCGCUGUGAAGAUGCAGUGUACCCGCGGCAAGACGGAAAGACCCCGUGAACCUUUACUAUAGCUUGACACUGAACAUUGAGCCUUGAUGUGUAGGAUAGGUGGGAGGCAUUGAAGUGUGGACGCCAGUCUGCAUGGAGCCAACCUUGAAAUACCACCCUUUAAUGUUUGAUGUUCUAACUCGGCCCCGUAAUCCGGGGUGAGGACAGUGUCUGGUGGGUAGUUUGACUGGGGCGGUCUCCUCCCAAAGAGUAACGGAGGAGCACGAAGGUUAGCUAAUCACGGUCGGACAUCGUGAGGUUAGUGCAAAGGCAUAAGCUAGCUUGACUGCGAGAGUGACGGCUCGAGCAGGUACGAAAGUAGGUCUUAGUGAUCCGGUGGUUCUGAAUGGAAGGGCCAUCGCUCAACGGAUAAAAGGUACUCCGGGGAUAACAGGCUGAUACCGCCCAAGAGUUCAUAUCGACGGCGGUGUUUGGCACCUCGAUGUCGGCUCAUCACAUCCUGGGGCUGAAGUAGGUCCCAAGGGUAUGGCUGUUCGCCAUUUAAAGUGGUACGCGAGCUGGGUUUAGAACGUCGUGAGACAGUUCGGUCCCUAUCUGCCGUGGGCGUUGGAAGAUUGAGAGGGGCUGCUCCUAGUACGAGAGGACCGGAGUGGACGAAUCACUGGUGUUCGGGUUGUCAUGCCAAUGGCAUUGCCCGGUAGCUAAAUUCGGAAGAGAUAACCGCUGAAAGCAUCUAAGCGGGAAACUUGCCUCGAGAUGAGUCUUCCCUGGGGCUUUAAGCCCCCUGAAGGAACGUUAAAGACUAUGACGUUGAUAGGCUGGGUGUGUAAGUGCAGCGAUGCAUUGAGCUAACCAGUACUAAUGAUCCGUGAGGCUUAACC
rnacentral:rRNA from 1 species